rnacentral:sRNA from 1 species
GCUGGGCACGGUGGUGCACGCCUGUAAUCCAGUAGCUGGGAGGCUAAGGCAGGAGGAUUGCAAGUUUGAGACCAGCCUCAGCAAUUUAGCAAGGCCUUAGGCAACUUAGGGAGACCCUGUCUCAA